UACGUAGGGUGCGAGCGUUGUCCGGAAUUAUUGGGCGUAAAGGGCUCGUAGGCGGUUUGUCGCGUCGGGAGUGAAAUCCACUGGCUUAACUGGUGGCUUGCUUUCGAUACGGGCAGACUGGAGGUAUGCAGGGGAGAACGGAAUUCCUGGUGUAGCGGUGAAAUGCGCAGAUAUCAGGAGGAACACCGGUGGCGAAAGGGCGGGUCUCUGGGCCGAAACUGACGCUGAGGAGCGAAAGCGUGGGGAGCGAACGG
rnacentral:rRNA from 1 species